CUUUUCAAAAGUUGUCCUCGUCGGGAAAAGAUGUUCUGGGACUUGGUGGAAGUUGUAGUGGAGGUUUCAGCCAGAAUGCUGCUGCCAAAGUAUUCAAGUUCCCCAAUGCAGCCAAGGUUUGCUGAAUUCUAUAUAUACAUUUCAUUAUGUUAUUGCAAUUGAGUGGUAUGUUGCUUAAAUCUGGAUUCAUAUUUCAAAAUCAAUUGGCUUCAUCAAAUUCCGAAUAGAUAUGUUUUUUACCUUUUGAAAAAUGUAUAUAUUUUUCACUUACGUUUGAUUAUGGUUGAAUAUGGUGAGUAUGGUGUACUUAUUAAAAUUACAUUUGUUUCACAAUUCAACAUAUCCUUUUUGGUCAUUUUAUAUUAGGAUAAAUAAUAAUUAAAAAUAAUAAUAAAAAUUUAGAAAUUAAAAACAUUUAUAAAACAAACAGGCCACCACAGACCCACCCCACCUGCUACUACUCACCCGUUCAUCCUCCACCCACCCACCCCUUUAAGAUAGGGCAGAGGCAUGGCUUAUUUUUUGAUAAGUCCACAAUUUAUGUACUCUUUAUACUUAGUUUUUGAAGAAGAAUUUGAUUUAAAAAUGACUUAUUACUUUAUUUUCUCAUUUUUUAGCUUUCCAGAUCAAGUAAAUUGUUUUUAAUGGAAAUACGACUUUUUGGUGGAUUUUUAGUACAAGACCAGUUGGAGAUGAAAGUUUAGACCUUGACGAUGAUUGUGGAAUUUUUCUAGAAUUUUCGGAGCAGCCAAUGAGAGUAGUCUUUGAAGUUAAGUCAACAUAAGGUGCAAUCCCGUCAAAACUGUGCUGCUGGGGAAGAAUGACUAUUUGAAGACUUUCCUAAUUUUUCAUCAAGGCGUGUGAUAUAUGGCUGGAAAGAUAAGACAAAAAUCUACAAUUUACAUAUUUUUGCCGAAUUUUCUUGGAGGAAGAACAACCCCAAACGUGAAUGCAAAGUAACUGACGUGUUAUCCCAGUCCAAGUAGGAAGAUGAGUUCUUACCCACUUUGGAUUAAUGUUUUAAUUAGAUUUUUAUUUAUUCUUGGGCUGCUCUAAAAGCCCAGCUAGGGUAGGAAUAGACGUGGGGUGUUUUAUUUAAGAAUGAGAAACAACUCCCUUGGGGGACAUGAAAAGACUAGGAGAAAUUGGAGACACCAGAAGAGUACCGCUAUUGGCUAAGUUUUAUUGUUUCUUCCUUAUGUUUUUGCUUAUGUCGAAUUCUAUGAUUAUGUGUAACUAAUUUUCUUUUACUAGGGCAUGAUGUAGCCCUAGAAUGAUAAUUUAGUUUUCUUAUUUUACCUAUCUAUUGAUUGCCGUUUGAUGUUGGAUUCUUAAUCACUGUGCUUAAUAACUUGGUUGAUUAUCUUGAUGCUUGAUCACCAUCUAGACUUUUAAUUGAGUUAAUCGGAUGCAAAUGAGAGUAAAUACCAUACUUAAUUUGAGGCUUGCUUCUUGUGAUUAGGAUUUGUAAUUCGUCUAGGGUAAAUACCAUACUCCUAGGGUUUACAUGCUUAUUCGAGGUUUUCACUGAUCUUAAUAAGUCUCUAUUUGUUGAUAUUUGACCUAAACACCAUAGGCGAAUUGCGUGUAGGAAUAUACGAGUUAGCCUAAAUAUCAUAGGUAAUUCAUGAAAAAAGAAAAUUAAGCGGCGACAUCAAAUGGUUAGUAAAUAGGCAGGUGAAUAAGAGGCUAGAUCGGAUUACUAGUGAUGAAUUCAUUGUCCUAGUGCUUUUAUCAAUUUGAAUUUCUCAUCUUGUGUUUCGUGACUUUCUACUUGUUUUGUCUUUUAAUUUCGUUGUUAAUUAAAUCAUUCUUUCAAAAAUCCAUUUCGUGUUUAUGUGAGUAUGCUACGUGUUUAAUUUCUUGUCUAUAUAAUUAGAGUAGUUAAACUAUUUUGUGAAGUAAAUUAGGUUAGACUAAUUGGUAGUUGAAAUCAAUCCUCGUGGGAAUGACCUAGUAUUUGCCAUACUAUAUUACGAUUAACCUUGUGCACUUGCGGGUAUAAUUUGUGUUUAGACUAAUCUUUAUAAUCUCCAUUUUUCAGGUUGUCUAAAAUUUACAACAUUUUUUAGGAAUCAAUUGGUGCAGAGCUUAUGAUAAAUUCCUAUGUGGUGGCAGCAAAAUUGCUUCUCGAUUUCCAGUUUGUCUUGCUUCAUUGCCAUUGAACUCGCAUUUGAUUGUAAGAUGGGAUUGUUGGGUAGCUGUAACCCUAGGAGGAGGAGAAAGAAGAAGAUGGAAUUUAGGGAUUUUUUUUGUGUGAAUCGGGGGGCUAGGAGAAGACAAGGUUCAUAUAUGAUGAUUGAAGAAGAAGAAGAAGAAGGGAUUGUUGGGUAACUGUAACCCUAAGAGGAGGAGAAAGAAGAAGAAGAAGAAAUUUAGGAUUUUUUUUGGGUGUGAAUCGGGG
rnacentral:lncRNA from 1 species